AAUUUUUAUUACGCAGAAACAAAGUAAAUAGAAGUACUUCUGAUCUGAAGACUGAACAGAGGCAGCGAUGGAGAAAUCUGCGGUGGCGGCGGCAAUUUUGUGCUUCUUCCUACUUUCUGCGGUGGCGGUGCCGGUGCUGGUUUCAGCCGACGCUGCUGACUGCAUCGACGGCUGUUUCACCGCUUGUGUCCAGAAAGACGCGAGGCUGACGCAGCGUUGUGAGGGCAAGUGUAGAAUUAAGUGCGGUCCAGAUAACGAAGUUGACGAAAAUAUUACUCGUUGAGACACAUCAAAUAAAAAAGGGCAUCAAUGUUGCGAGAAACUUACCUCCUUCUGUUGUAAUAAAGAAAGAUGAGGAAAAAUAGUACAUGUAUGUCAUAAACCAAUGCUUUUUUUCCCACAUGUUGCAUUUUAUAAAAAUGCUCCUUUUGUGGGAUAUGUGUUGUUUUUUCCUUUUGCAUUUGAAUUAAACCAUAUUGUUUGGUAUUGUGGGAGAUCAAUUUCAGUCUAACAUUGAGGAGGUGUUGGGAGAGUUGAGUUGGUUGGGAAAAAACGUCAAUCUAGAGAAAAUAAAAACGGUGAAUUUAAAAUCUGUCGUUUUACUUCCUCUCAACACUCCCUAAAUCGGUGUGUUUUCUUUAACUCUCUUCUUAA